rnacentral:rRNA from 1 species
UUUCACUGAAACAAGGGAAAACCCUUGGCAGCAGUAAUGAAUUUUAUGUAAUAUACGAAAGUAAGACAUAGGUAGAAUAAAAAAAAUCUGUCAAAUUAAGUGCCAGCAGACGCGGUAACACUUAAGGAUUUAUUUUUUAAUAAAAAGCAAAAAGCGUGUUAAGGAUUUUAAAAAAAAAAAAUAAAUAGAAUUUUUAUUUCGUAAUUGUGGAAUGUUAAAAUGAAAAAAAGAAUUUUUUAUAUGAAAAUAAUUUAUUUUUUUUUCUUAAACACGAAGGUUUUGGGAGCAAACAGGAUUAGAGACCCUGGUAGUCUAUACAGUAAAAGAAUAUCGCUUGAGUAGUACGGUCGCAAGAUUAAAAUUCAAAAAACUUGGCUGUUCAUUGUUAAUUAGAGGAGCGUGUCGCUUAAUUCGAUGAUCCGCGAGAGACCUUACCGAAGUUUGAACUUAUAAACAGGUGUUGCAUGGCCGUCGUCAAUUUCUGUUUGAGACAAAAAGCGGUUUAAUCCUAUCAAGGUCGAAGUCAGGUAUUAUGACCCUUAUAUUUCGGGGUUAGAUGCGCUACAUUUCUCUCCUAGAAAAAGAGGGGUUCGGAUUGUUUUUAAAAUAAGACGAUGAAGUUGGAUUUAAAAGUAAUUGAAAAGUAGUGCGUUUCAAUGAAUUUUAUGGCAAUGUUAGUACAAAUCGCCCGUCGCCAGCCGAGAAAUGGGCUGUAAGUCGUAACA